ACAAUGUUGUUUGAGGAACCUACCCAGGGAUUUCUUCCUUCUUGUGUCUUUACUAAUACAGUUGAGAAAAGAAGCUUUCUGUUUUAAAAUACUCAAUCUAUUUUAAGUCAACUUAUGGAAAUUCAUGGGAAAAAUAGGUUUUAAAAAAACUAAUUUCAUUGCUUUCAAUUUUUCAGGGGCCUGAACAUCAGCUUGAAAAUGACUGACCUCUUUGAUUAUUAAUUUAAGCAGGACAGUUUCGUACAUAGGAAGGAAAAGCAUUAGGAGUGGCUUCAGAGCCUUUUUGUUUUUCUUUUAGAUUUACUUCAUUAGGCUGCUUUCCUCUGAUGUACAGUGACUGUUGUUUGUUUUAAUGUCUUGGUGCAUAAAUGGAAAAAUUUUGAAUGGAAAUGAAUUUCGAAGAAUGAAGAAUGCAAUAGAAUAUUAGGUUCACCAAUCUAUAUGAAAUGAACUAUUAUGGCAUUUAUCUUUGUAGCUAAGCCAUUUGUAAGUUAUCUUUCUCAUUUGAAAAGAUAUACUAUAACUCAAUAAUCCAUCAUGAAUUCUUUAAAAAUUUACCCUCUGCAGAAACACAUUGCUCACACUUCACUGACAUGAGACAAUUUAAAAAUGAAUUAUUUUAUAUGCUUAUUAGAAAGGUGGUGAUAGUCUAUAAACAGCACUGUUAGAGAAGGUCAAAUUGUGAUUGAUGUUCCACCCAAAAUAUGACUCAGCCAGUCAGAGUGAUUUAAUUUAGGAAAUUCUUUCUCUCCUUACUAAGAGGAUCAUAUUCAUUACUACGUAAUCACCAAGGUAAUAGGUUGGGAUGAAAAUAACCCCUGCCAGCAGGUAUCCUGAAAAAAAAAACACAUCAAUUCUCUGAUAUACAGAGGA
rnacentral:lncRNA from 1 species